rnacentral:rRNA from 1 species
AGAACGAACGCUGGCGGCGUGGAUAAGACAUGCAAGUCGAGCGAGAUUUUUCUUGUAGCAAUACAGGGAAAAGUCUAGCGGCGAACGGGUGCUUAACACGUGGGCAAUCUGUCUUAAAGUGGGGGAUAGCUCGGCGAAAGCCGAAUUAAUACCGCAUGUGAUUAGAGUGGACAUCCAUUCAAAAUCAAAGUCGGGGCAACCUGACGCUUUUUGAGGAGCCCGCGGCCUAUCAGCUUGUUGGUGAGGUAACGGCUCACCAAGGCUUUGACGGGUAGC